GUCUAGUUAGCAUGGUUGAUAGCGCGUCUGCCUUGUAAGCGCUAGGCUGUGGGUUCGAUUCCCACUCGAGGCG
rnacentral:tRNA from 1 species